UACGGAGGGAGCUAGCGUUGUUCGGAAUUACUGGGCGUAAAGCGCACGUAGGCGGAUCUUUAAGUCAGAGGUGAAAUCCCAAGGCUCAACCUUGGAACUGCCUUUGAUACUGGGAGCCUUGAGUUCGAGAGAGGUGAGUGGAACUGCGAGUGUAGAGGUGAAAUUCGUAGAUAUUCGCAAGAACACCAGUGGCGAAGGCGGCUCACUGGCUCGAUACUGACGCUGAGGUGCGAAAGCGUGGGGAGCAAACAGG
rnacentral:rRNA from 1 species